UGGUAAAUGUGAAAUCUGCGGGGCAGAUUGUAGCCUGGAGACCCAGGGAAGAGGUGCUGUUGCAGCUUGAGGCCCAGGGCAGUCUGGAGGUGGAAUUCCUUCUUCCUUAGGGGACCUUCAACUGACUGGAUGAGGCCCACCCACAUUAUGGAGGGUAAUCUGCU